CCCCACCUAACGCUCUCCGUAGGUGACCUGCGGAGGGAUCAUUACAAGUGACCCCGGUUUACCACCGGGAUGUUCAUAACCCUUUGUUGUCCGACUCUGUUGCCUCCGGGGCGACCCUGCCUUCGGGCGGGGGCUCCGGGUGGACACUUCAAACUCUUGCGUAACUUUGCAGUCUGAGUAAACUUAAUUAAUAAAUUAAAACUUUUAACAACGGAUCUCUUGGUUCUGGCAUCGAUGAAGAACGCAGCGAAAUGCGAUAAGUAAUGUGAAUUGCAGAAUUCAGUGAAUCAUCGAAUCUUUGAACGCACAUUGCGCCCCCUGGUAUUCCGGGGGGCAUGCCUGUUCGAGCGUCAUUUCACCACUCAAGCCUCGCUUGGUAUUGGGCAACGCGGUCCGCCGCGUGCCUCAAAUCGACCGGCUGGGUCUUCUGUCCCCUAAGCGUUGUGGAAACUAUUCGCUAAAGGGUGCUCGGGAGGCUACGCCGUAAAACAACCCCAUUUCUAAGGUUGACCUCGGAUCAGGUAGGGAUACCCGCUGAACUUAAGCAUAUCAAUAAGCCGGAGGAA
rnacentral:rRNA from 1 species